AUUGAACGCUGGCGGCAUGCUUUACACAUGCAAGUCGAACGGCAGCGCGGGCUUCGGCCUGGCGGCGCGUGGCGAACGGGUGAGUAAUGCAUCGGAACGUGCCCAGUAGUGGGGGAUAGCCCGGCGAAAGCCGGAUUAAUACCGCAUACGACCUGAGGGUGAAAGCGGGGGACCGAAAGGCCUCGCGCUAUUGGAGCGGCCGAUGUCGGAUUAGCUAGUUGGUUGGGUAACGGCUUACCAAGGCGACGAUCCGUAGCUGGUCUGAGAGGACGACCAGCCACACUGGAACUGAGACACGGCCUAGACUCCUACGGGAGGCAGCAGUGGGGAAUUUUGGACAAUGGGGGCAACCCUGAUCCAGCCAUGCCGCGUGCGGGAAGAAGGCCUUCGGGUUGUAAACCGCUUUUGUUCGGGAAGAAAUCCUCUGGGCUAAUACCCCGGGGGGAUGACGGUACCGGAAGAAUAAGCACCGGCUAACUACGUG
rnacentral:rRNA from 1 species